rnacentral:tmRNA from 1 species
GGGGGUGACUGGUUUCGACGAGGAAAUCGGUGUGUGCGUUCGCGCGGCAAAGUUGGGGCAUCUUUCCAAACUGCCUCAAAAUCAAGUGCGAAAAACACUGGCGGGGUUCUUUCCCCGAUUCAGCCUGCUUACGCUUUUGCCUAAGCGGCCGUCUAUGGAUCUAGAGCUUGAGUAAAUCCAUAAGACGUCAUCCUUCAAGCACGAGUGAGCGAUGUCCUGCGUUCACUUUAAACUUCGGACUCGGCACGAUGCGUUUCUGUUCAUCUCUUAUGCAUCGCGCUCAAACCUUCAGAUGAUCUACGCAGCGUAGAUAGGCGCAUUCACUUUUCUUCGGACGGGAGUUCGAUUCUCCCCACCUCCACUG